UUCUCGAUGGCUUAGUGGUGAGAGCGUCGGACUUGUUAUUUGAAGGUUGCGGGUUCGAGUCCCGCUCGAGGAG